AGAUAGCAAUAUAGUUUUUCCAAAAAGAAAUGAGAUUGGAACAUAGUUAGAAACUAAAAUAGAAUAGCAUAUGAAGGGUUAGUUAGAAUUUCGAGUGGUAUAAAAUAGUUAUAGCUGGGGAUAAGGAAACAAAUAAAUGAAUGGUACAAGACUCCAGAGGGGAGUAAAGGUUGUCCUUCAAUUCACCAGCCGUUGGGAUAAUUACGGACAUACGUACAAAGGAAGGCUCCUCUCUUCUUUUACCUUCUAUUCCACUUGAUCCCUACACGUGUCCACAAUCUUAAUUACCAAAAUAAUUUUAUUCGUUUUACUUUUUUUUUAUCUCAUUUACUUUUUCUUUUAUACUUUUUUAUUUGCUUUUAACUUUUUCGUUUCUCUAAUAGCAGUAUAGAACCAAAGUCACUAAACGGUCAAGAUUUUCGUGUCUCGUUCUUGUAAUCAGACCAGGCCUUAUGUAGUUGAAUGUCUAACAAUAAAAUAUGCCCGGAAACUAUUACAGUAUAUAUUUAUAUUACAUCAUUUUGAUACCUUAGAUUUUU
rnacentral:lncRNA from 1 species